CCUACGGGAGGCAGCAGUGGGGAAUAUUGCACAAUGGGCGAAAGCCUGACGCAGCAACGCCGCGUGAAGGAUGAAGGUCUUCGGAUCGUAAACCUCUAUCAGCAGGGACGAACGGUAACUGUGCUACUCAACAAUAAGUUGACGGUACCUGCAAAGGAAGCGCCGGCUAACUACGUGCCAGCAGCCGCGGUAAUGCGGAGGGUGCGAGCGUUAAUCGGAAUUACUGGGUGUAAAGCGCGCGUAGGCGGUAUGGCAAGUCACGUGUGAAAUCCCUGGGCUUAACGUGGGAACUGCAUUUGAAACUGGCAAACUAGAGUGCGGGAGAGGAGAGUGGAAUUCCAGGUGUAGGGGUGAAAUGCGUAGAUAUUUGGAGGAACACCAGUGGCGAAGGCGACUAUCUGG
rnacentral:rRNA from 1 species